UCGAUUUGUACACCCCUAACCAAAAGCAUUAUGUGCAGUCAAAGACAAAAACUUGCAGAUGAGCAACUAUAGCACACAACUAGCACAACUAACAUUCACUCUUCCGACCUACUAAUCAAUACAAACUAUACUAAUAUGGAUAAUAAUUCAGCUUCUCAAGCUCCUUAGUAAGUCUGCUCCUUUGACAUCCUCUGCAAACUACUUCUUGUAUGAUUCUUCUGACAAUGCUCUUGGGAUCAGCUUGUUUAGUCCGGAAAAUCCUCUGAUUUAUCUCAAUCCAGAGGUGAUAAACACAUGCAACCAUAGGUCAUCCUAUAGAGCUCCGCACUUGAACUUCUUCCUUCAGUAUUAACUUCAGCCCAUCUUAAUUCUUCUAGUCAAGUCAUAGCUUUUCUAGCAAUUCUUUGCAACUGCAAAAAUUUGUCCCACACUUGUGCAGAUACAUCAAAAUGGAAAAGAGGUGAGAUAUGUUUUCAGCUUGAGAAGCACACAUUGAACAUAUUUGAUUAUCAAUUACUCUCCGAUGCAUCAAUCUAUCCUUAGUAGGCAAUCUAUCAAAAGCUGCUAGUCUUGAGAUGAAGACCUAUUUUGAGAUCCAAAGUUGUUGCAGACCAUUUUCCUCCAUUGCACUUUAGGAAAAUCACCCCUCAACAGUUGAUAUAUCUUCUUAAUGAAAAAUAUUGUCAUACAUUUAAAAUCUUCUUCAAUAAUCCCAGCUUGUUUAAUGUGACUUUGCAUCUUCAAAAUUUUCUGCACUAUCCAAGAGGUUUGCUUUGAUGCAACUUCCUAUAUCUGGCCUCCCUUGAUGUAAUAAUUGCGAAUUCAUUUAAUCCAAAAUUUAUCUUUU
rnacentral:lncRNA from 1 species